AGUAUGUCCGGGAAGUUGUGUUUUGUAUACUCUGCAUCUUAAAUCGUACUCAAUUAUUUGCCUUAUUAGUUAGAUUACUGUAAAUUAUGUAUGUGUUGAAAGCGCGGUACGAUUUAUGUAUAAAAAUAUUACAUACGCUAAUAGUUCUACCUAAUUGGAUUUUUCUAAGUUUGAUGCCAUAGAGGUUUUAUUCAAUCAUUAACAAUCGAUCGACUCACAUGAGACUGCUUUUAUCAGAAGAAAUUAAGAGCUAUCUUUGAGCUCCAAAUAUCGUCUGGCUCUCAAAGACAAAAGAGAACAAGUAGUAAUCAAUGCAUUGUGGAUGCAGCAAGGACGCAAAGACUAAGAGGUAGAAGAAUCGUGGAUAAAAUCUGGAUGCAGUGACACUGUGGAAGCAAAAAUGUCUCAAGUGGAGGCAUGUCACGAAGAAAAGCGUUUUUAUUGUUCCAUUUGCAAAAAGUCGUACGUCCGGCGGACUGCCUUUGUGUGCCAUAUGAGAAACCACACGGGAGAAUGCCCUUUUUCAUGUAAAUAUUGCAACAAAACAUUCAUCUGGAAAUUUUCUUGGCAACGUCACGUAAAAGCACACACGAAGAGAAACCUUUUCUUAUGCACAUACUGCAAAACGUCGUUUGUCACCAACAGCGCCCUCACAAUGCACUUGAAGAUCCACACGGGACAGUCUCCGUUUCUGUGUGAAUAUUGCAUGGAAACCUUCCAAUCAAAAGUCUCUCUGGAUCACCACUUGAGCAUCCAUACCGGGGAG